rnacentral:rRNA from 1 species
ACGAACGCUGGCGGCGUGCUUAACACAUGCAAGUCGAACGGAAAGGCCCUGCUUUUGUGGGGUGCUCGAGUGGCGAACGGGUGAGUAACACGUGAGUAACCUGCCCUUGACUUUGGGAUAACUUCAGGAAACUGGGGCUAAUACCGGAUAGGAGCUCCUGCUGCAUGGUGGGGGUUGGAAAGUUUCGGCGGUUGGGGAUGGACUCGCGGCUUAUCAGCUUGUUGGUGGGGUAGUGGCUUACCAAGGCUUUGACGGGUAGCCGGCCUGAGAGGGUGACCGGCAACAUUGGGACUGAGAUACGGCCCAGCCUCCUACGGGAGGCAGCAGUGGGGAAUAUUGCACAAUGGGCGGAAGCCUGAUGCAGCAACGCCGCGUGCGGGAUGACGGCCUUCGGGUUGUAAACCGCUUUCGCCUGUGACGAAGCGUGAGUGACGGUAAUGGGUAAAGAAGCACCGGCUAACUACGUG